rnacentral:rRNA from 1 species
GAAUUAUCUGGGCUACACGCGGGCUACAAUGGGUGGGACAAUGGGUAUCGACACCGAAAGGUGAAGGCAAAUCUCCUAAACCCAUCCGUAGUUCGGAUUGUGGGCUGCAACUCGCCCACCAUGAAGCUGGAAUCUGUAGUAAUCGUGUCUCAAAAUGGCACGGUGAAUAUGUCCCUGCUCCUU